rnacentral:lncRNA from 1 species
UACCAUCACAUCAGAUAUAUUAUCAUUCAUUUUUCAUAAAUUUGCUUUUUUCAAAAUAUUCCCUUCAAUCACGUACACAACAAAAUAUGGUCAUAUUGGCUUACUAUAUACUAGAUUAUUCUUAAAUAAUAUGUUCUUCCGUCACUAUUAACAUGGUAAUCUGGAUACUUUUUCCCUUAAACAGCGCCUCUACUCUGGUUACUCCCCGCCACGGCUUCUUGCCUCAAUGGUUUCACCUUUAGGAUGGCAUAGUCCUUAGGGAUAUUUCUCCGUUUCCUCUUUGUUAAUAAACUUCUUAACAUAUUAUUCUUCGAAUAAUUCUACUAUAAAGUAACU